rnacentral:rRNA from 1 species
CAAUAAGCGGAGGAAAAGAAACCAACAGGGAUUGCCUCAGUAACGGCGAGUGAAGCGGCAACAGCUCAAAUUUGAAAUCUGGCGGCCUCUGGGCCGUCCGAGUUGUAAUUUGAAGAGGAUGCUUUUGGCGAGGUGCCUUCCGAGUGCCCUGGAACGGGACGCCACAGAGGGUGAGAGCCCCGUAUGGUCGGACACCGAGCCUCUGUAAAGCUCCUUCGACGAGUCGAGUAGUUUGGGAAUGCUGCUCAAAAUGGGAGGUAAACCCCUUCUAAAGCUAAAUACUGGCCAGAGACCGAUAGCGCACAAGUAGAGUGAUCGAAAGAUGAAAAGCACUUUGAAAAGAGAGUUAAAUAGCACGUGAAAUUGUUGAAAGGGAAGCGCUUGCGACCAGACUUGUGCUCGUCGAAUCAGUCGCCCCUCGCGGGCGGCGCACUUCGGCGGGCUCAGGCCAGCAUCAGUUCGCUGCAGGGGGAGAAAGGCGGCGGGAAUGUGGCUCUUCGGAGUGUUAUAGCCCGCCGCGCAAUACCCCUCGGCGGACUGAGGACCGCGCAUCUGCAAGGAUGCUGGCGUAAUGGUCGUCAGCGACCCGUCUUGAAACACGGACCAAGGAGUCGUCCUAAUAUGCGAGUGUUCGGGUGUAAAACCCCUGCGCGUAAUGAAAGUGAACGGAGGUGAGAGCUUCGGCGCAUCAUCGACCGAUCCUGAUGUUCUCGGAUGGAUUUGAGUAAGAGCAUAUUGGGCCGGACCCGAAAGAAGGUGAACUAUGCCUGUAUAGGGUAAAGCCAGAGGAAACUCUGGUGGAGGCUCGCAGCGGUUCUGACGUGCAAAUCGAUCGUCAAAUAUGGGCAUGGGGGCGAAAGACUAAUCGAACCUUCUAGUAGCUGGUUUCCGCCGAAGUUUC